UGCACUAGAACAAGUCAACACGGAGAGGUCAACAGCGGUGCGGGAGCUCAGGUCUCGGCUCCAUUCCAACCGGGGUUUUUAACCCCUGAAAUGGGAAGCACAAUUUCGUGUGUAUGACUGCAAAUGUAAGUUUUCUAGAAAGAUGGUUCUGACACAGACUCUCAAAGGCAUCCAUAACCCAAAAGGGGUGAAGAACCACUGAUGAGCCCUGGUCAGUAAGGAUCCUCUGAAACUAAGCUGUCUGCACACAGUGCUGUCCGUGACCAAGGAUUUUCAUUUGUGCGUCGGCCCCUUCUGAACCCCGCCACGAAGGUCGCGGCAUCUGGUGCCAUGAACAGGGACUGGAGGAGAAGAUUCGCCUAAGCGAAAAACGAAGUGAAAAGGAAAAGUGGAAAUUCACUGGAAAGGUGGGAAGUUCACCACGCACAAAGCCCGUGCCAGCUUCGGAGUCGCGACUAUCAAUAAAGACAUAUCCUCGGAUGAGAAUUAAAAUUUUAAAAAAACUAGCAACACAGAGAUUUACAGUGGUUGCACCAUGUAAACCAAUAGGUAAAUGAGGAAACAAACUGUGGAAUACCCA